CUGAGAGUUUGAUCCUGGCUCAGAACGAACGCUGGCGGCAGGCUUAACACAUGCAAGUCGAACGAACUCUUCGGAGUUAGUGGCAGACGGGUGAGUAACGCGUGGGAACGUGCCCUUCUCUAAGGAAUAGCCACUGGAAACGGUGAGUAAUACCUUAUACGCCCUUCGGGGGAAAGAUUUAUCGGAGAAGGAUCGGCCCGCGUUGGAUUAGGUAGUUGGUGGGGUAAUGGCCUACCAAGGCGACGAUCCAUAGCUGGUCUGAGAGGAUGAUCAGCCACACUGGGACUGAGACACGGACCAGACUCCUACGGGAGGCAGCAGUGGGGAAUCUUGGACAAUGGGGGCAACCCUGAUCCAGCCAUGCCGCGUGGGUGAAGAAGGCCUUAGGGUUGUAAAGCCCUUUCAGUCGUGACGAUGAUGACGGUAGCGACAGAAGAAGCCCCGGCUAACUCCGUGCCAGCAGCCGCGGUAAUACGGAGGGUGCAAGCGUU
rnacentral:rRNA from 1 species